rnacentral:rRNA from 1 species
GACAGAGGGGGCAAGCGUUGCUCGGAAUCACUGGGCGUAAAGGGCGCGUAGGCGGGAUGGCAAGUCGGUCGUGAAAUCCUUCGGCUCAACCGAAGAACGUCGGCCGAUACUGCCGUUCUUGAGGGAUGCAGAGGAGAUUGGAAUUCCCGGUGUAGCGGUGAAAUGUGUAGAGAUCGGGAGGAACACCGGUGGCGAAAGCGUGGGGAGCAAACGGG